UACGUAGGGUGCAAGCGUUAAUCGGAAUUACUGGGCGUAAAGCGUGCGCAGGCGGUUUUUGUAAGUCUGUCGUGAAAUCCCCGGGCUCAACCUGGGAAUUGCGAUGGAGACUGCAAGGCUAGAAUCUGGCAGAGGGGGGUAGAAUUCCACGUGUAGCAGUGAAAUGCGUAGAGAUGUGGAGGAACACCGAUGGCGAAGGGCGCAGCCCCCUGGGAU
rnacentral:rRNA from 1 species